rnacentral:lncRNA from 1 species
UUUACUAACUUUCGAAAGUCACUUUGGGUUUUUACCCUUUGACCAGAUUCAGAGCAUAUGUUAAAGAUCGUGUGUUAAAGAUCUUGCUUAGCUUGUAUAGAUCUGUUCGUGAGUGUUAACAGUUCGUUGUGUUGAUGAACUGUUAGUGAGGCGUCAAAUACAUACAAACAACAACACGCGCCGGCGUCAAAUACACCAAUGGAUUCAAGCAACAAGAUCUGACCCAAGCUAUUGCGUCCGGGAUAUUUCAGAUCAAUACGGCCGUUAACUCGUUUCAACGUCUGGUUAAAACUCUUGGAACACCUAAAAAUACCCAUGAACUAAGGGAAAGACUGUACGUUUUGGUUUGUAAUUUUGAUUGUUGAUGAUUGAAUGUUAGUGAGGCGAGUGUUGUUCGUGUGUCUUGUUGGUGGAGCUUGUGCACGCCACGCGCCGUCACGCGUUUGUGGUUAUCCAACGGAGCUUGCUCGAUGCGCACGGUGUGUCGGAGCUGGUGCACACCAUACGUCGCCGCGUGUUUGAGCUUAUCAGAUGUAUGGCGCAUGGCGUAUCGGAGCUGGUGCACCAUGCGCCGCCGCGCGUUUGAGCUUAUCGGACGGAUGGCGCACGGCGUAUCGGAGCUGGUGCACCAUGCGCCGCCGCGCGUUUGAGCUUAUCGGACGGAUGGCGCACGGCGUAUCGGAGCUGUGCACCAUGCGCCGCCGCGCGUUUGAGCUUAUCAGAUGUAUGGCGCACGGCGUGUCGGAGUAGAGGCUUGCCAUGCACAGUGGUUUUCACUGAAACCUUCUUUUUAUGGUGAAGUAUGAACACUCAUAUUUCAACUUCAACUUGGCGCUGAUAACAAACGUAGGAGGAGCAUGGGUGUAACAAGGGUUGCAGACUUUGUAAAAAAAACCAUUUGUCUUUUGAAAACCAAAAGGUGUGAAGCUUUAUUAGGACA